CCCUUAGAUGUUCUGGGCCGCACGCGCGCUACACUGAUGCAUUCAACGAGUCUAAAACCUGGUCUGAUAGGGCUGGGUAAUCUUUUGAAAGUGCAUCGUGAUUGGGAUAGAUGAUUGCAAUUCUUCAUCUUCAACGAGGAAUGCCUAGUAAACGCAAGUCAUCAGCUUGCAUUGAUUACGUCCCUGCCCUUUGUACACACCGCCCGUCGCUCCUACCGAUUGAAUGAUCCGAUGAAUACCAUGGAUUGAGAGUUCGAACAGGUUCUCCUGUUUCAGCUGCUCGAGAAGUGGAGUAAAUCUUAUCAUUUAGAGGAAGGAGAAGUCGUAACA
rnacentral:rRNA from 1 species